GACGAACGCUGGCGGCGUGCUUAACACAUGCAAGUCGAACGGAAAGGCCCUGCUUUUGUGGGGUGCUCGAGUGGCGAACGGGUGAGUAACACGUGAGUAACCUGCCCUUGACUUUGGGAUAACUUCAGGAAACUGGGGCUAAUACCGGAUAGGAGCUCCUGCUGCAUGGUGGGGGUUGGAAAGUUUUGGCGGUUGGGGAUGGACUCGCGGCUUAUCAGCUUGUUGGUGGGGUAGUGGCUUACCAAGGCUUUGACGGGUAGCCGGCCUGAGAGGGUGACCGGCCACAUUGGGACUGAGAUACGGCCCAGACUCCUACGGGAGGCAGCAGUGGGGAAUAUUGCACAAUGGGCGGAAGCCUGAUGCAGCAACGCCGCGUGCGGGAUGACGGCCUUCGGGUUGUAAACCGCUUUCGCCUGUGACGAAGCGUGAGUGACGGUAAUGGGUAAAGAAGCACCGGCCAACUACGUG
rnacentral:rRNA from 1 species